GUGCUUGCUCUGGCAGCACAUAUGGUAAAUUGGAUUCGAUACAGAGAAGAUUAGCAUCAUGGCCCCUUUUUAAAGGAUGACUUGCAAGACUGCAGUCUAGUCAAAGUGUGA